GACGAGGGGUCCUAGCGUUGUUCGGAAUCAUUGGGCGUAAAGCGUAUGUAGGCGGCUUUGUAAGUCAGGUGUGAAAUCCCCGGGCUCAACCCGGGAAGUGCAUUUGAUACUGCUUAGCUUGAGUAUGGGAGAGGAUAGUGGAAUUCCAGGUGUAGUGGUGAAAUGCGUAGAUAUCAGGAAGAACACCCGUGGCGAAGGCGGCUCUCUGGGACGGUACUGACGCUGA
rnacentral:rRNA from 1 species